rfam:Stegodyphus mimosarum contig112326, whole genome shotgun sequence.
UACAAGGCCUUUCUCAGGGCCACUAACUCAGCCUGAUAAACAGAGG